rnacentral:piRNA from 1 species
UGUAAGAUGAAUAUGAUGCUUUGG